UCUUUAGGCUGCAACUCAAAGAAGCCAGAGUCAAUACCAGCAAAGCGAAAGGCUUGCUGGGCAUCUAAGGAUUCCCCAUUGGGGCCAACAGCCUUGGAAUUAGGCCGGCCAGUGAGUAAUCCAGCAAUAUAGGACAAUGGGACUAAAUCCCCUGAAGCUGUGAUUGUGCCUCGGAGUGGCAAGCAUGGAGUAAUGUUGUGGUUGAGAAGCUUGGUGAUAGCUUCCAAGAUUUCAAAUCUAAUGCCUGA
rnacentral:misc_RNA from 1 species